rnacentral:rRNA from 1 species
GAUGAACGCUGGCGGCGUGCCUAAUACAUGCAAGUCGAGCGAACAGACGAGGAGCUUGCUCCUCUGACGUUAGCGGCGGACGGGUGAGUAACACGUGGAUAACCUACCUAUAAGACUGGGAUAACUUCGGGAAACCGGAGCUAAUACCGGAUAAUAUAUUGAACCGCAUGGUUCAAUAGUGAAAGACGGUUUUGCUGUCACUUAUAGAUGGAUCCGCGCCGCAUUAGCUAGUUGGUAAGGUAACGGCUUACCAAGGCAACGAUGCGUAGCCGACCUGAGAGGGGGAGAGGCAACAGUAGAGCAGAGACAGGAUCGAGACACAGCCGGGAGGUGGCAGGAGGGAAUAGGUGGCAAGGAUAGCGAGUUGUAAAGAUCAAUUAGGAGGGGAAGAAAAUGGUCUAAGGAUCGUAAAACUCUGUUAAUACGGAAGAACAAAAGUGUAAGUAACAAUGCGCGCCAGGAGGGUAACUAAGAAGACAGCAACGGCUAACUUGGUG